GUCCAGACUCCUACGGGAGGCAGCAGUGAGGAAUAUUGGUCAAUGGGCGAGAGCCUGAACCAGCCAAGUCGCGUGAGGGAAGACGGUCCUAUGGAUUGUAAACCUCUUUUGUCGGGGAGCAAAAAGGCCUCGUGAGGCCACAAGCGAGAGUACCCGAAGAAAAAGCAUCGGCUAACUCCGUGCCAGCAGCCGCGGUAAUACGGAGGAUCCGAGCGUUAUCCGGAUUCAUUGGGUUUAAAGGGUGCGUAGGUUGUUUUAUAAGUUAGCGGUGAAAUACCGAUGCUCAACAUCGGGGCUGCCGCUAAUACUGUAGGACUAGAGAUCGGAUGCAGCAGGCGGAAUGUGUAGUGUAGCGGUGAAAUGCAUAGAUAUUACACAGAACACCGAUUGCGAAGGCAGCUUGCUAGGCCGGAUCUGACACUGAUGCACGAAAGCGUGGGGAUCGAACAGGAUUAGAUACCCUAGUA
rnacentral:rRNA from 1 species